GCUUUCUUUGUUGUUAAAACAGGUAUUGGAUUCAGUUACUACUACAUAUUCUAACUUCAAGAGCAACUUUUUGAAGCGCCUGUCAGCAGAGCUUCCUGUUGCCAGUAGCCCAAUCGCCACAAGAUGGCAGCAAAGGCAAACCGGGGACUUGGCCUGUUCCUUUGGAGCUGAGCUUUCCACCACUGACAUCCCUGAAUCCCUUCAAUCAGUGCUGGGAACACCUGAGAAAGACACCUUGACUCCAGGUGAGCCUAGUUUUGAAAUGUUAAAAGGAAUGUAUUCCUGAGAGAAUCUUUGCCUUAAAGAACUAUUUAAUGUCAUAUCUAGUCAACUGCUUUUCCCUUUUUUUCCCCUCCCCUCCUCCCUUUUUUGGUCCCAGGGAUUGAACUCCAGGUGUUUAACCACUGAGUCACAUCCCCAGCCCUUUUUCUAUUUUUUUUUUUUAAUUAUGAGGCAGGGUCUCACUAAGUUCCUUAGGGCCUCUUGCUAAUUUGCUGAGGCUGGCUUUGAACUCGUGAUGCUCCUGCCUCAGCUUUACGAGUUGCUAGGGGGAUUAGAGGUGUACACCACCACGAGCCACCUUUUCCCUCCCUUUGAAUAAGAAAUUGAUAAGCAAAAUUUGCCACCUCUCAUCUAGUGAUUUAAUUCCUGUUCUUCCCUUUAAAAACCCUAGGGAACAUAAUUUUUGACUAUCAGCAUUUUUAUAAAGACAAAUGUUGACAGUUGUGCCAAUUCUUCUCAGUGAGGCACUGUAGUUCUACAGAUUGAAAGGGAACCCAAAUCAUUUUAUUUUUUUCCCUUUUUUUAUUGGUUGUUCAAAACAUUACAAAGCUCUUGACAUAUCUUAUUUCAUACAUUAGAUUCAAGUGGGUUAUGAACUCCCAUUUUUACCCCAAAUACAGAUUGCAGAAUCACAUCGGCUACACCAAUGAAAUUCCUCUGUAAUGACAAGUAUCAAUUCUGAAAUCAGCUGAAUGCAGCGGUAGGAGAUACAGGGUUAAGAAAGAUCAGUGUUAUGACUAUCUUCUGAAAGAAAUCUUUUGAGUCCCAUUGUAAUUGGGGAGCAGUUUUUAUGCUGAUUGUUUUAGGGGCAUCUCUGGCUAAAAUUGGGGGCUUCCCUUUUUUUUUUAGGUUCUAAAUCAAUUUAUUGGUUGUUUCUUAGUAAAACCUUAUGUGGGAAAUUUAAAAUUUCAGACAAUAUGUAUUAGUCAAGAAGAUUUUACAAGAAAGUCCACUUUAUUUUCUAUUUAAUUUAGUACUGGGCAUUAAUCAGAUAAUUUGAUUUCUAAGUGUUUUGCUGCUGGUGUUUCUUUUCUUGGUUUCAGAAGUGUAAGGGACACAUACAGAGAGGUUCAUUUGCAGUUAUGCUCGCCACAGGAAACCUGAGAGGUCCCUGCUUUCUUUGGCUGGUGGACUUGACCUCUUUGUUUAUGAUAGGGAUGAUUGUCAGUACUUGCAUCCAAGUGCACUUUUCCUUUUUCAUUUGAGGUUCUGAGAGCUAGCCUUUUCUACUUUAUACCCUUGUAUAAAUGGCACAAGGAAGAAAGCAUGCAUACUUUCUCAGGACAAGGAAUAGGACAUAAAGCUUUGAGGAACAUUUCAUGUUUUCAUCCCUCCUCCUCCUUUAACGUAACAUAACACCUCUUAGAUUUUGAAUAUCACAGGACUCGAGGUACCAGGCUCUGAGAACAUUAGCAACAUCUUACCAAGCCCAUGGUUUUCCAAAUGAAGAAGGGAUUGUCACAUUCAAAAGGCCACAAUUUUCCAAUGGUUUCUUGGCCCCUCUGAUAAACAAGCAAUAUGGCAUAUAUUUAGUCUUAGAGGAUGCCUUCACAGGUUGCCAGUGCAGUUAAAAACCUGUUAAGGGCUGGGGAUGUGGCUCAAGCGGUAGUGCGCUCGCCUGGCAUUAGAUCCUCAGCACCACAUACAAACAAAGAUGUUGUGUCUGCUGAAAACUAAAAAAUAAAUAUUAAAAAAUUCUCUCUCUCUCUCUCUUUCUUUAAAAAAAAAACCUGUUAAAAGGCAUUCUCAACCUUGAGAAGGACACAAAUGUGAAAUAAUUAAUGCAAAUAACACUUACUUCUGUUUUUAACUUAGUGUUACAUUGAUGCUAUCUCACUUGACUUUUGUAACAUUUCUUUGCAGUAGGAAGGGGUGGGGGAUGACAGUGAUAUUCUCAUGAUCAUGCAGUGAGCACCAAUGAUUGACAACACAAAAAUUUCCUGUAGUGAUUUCCUGCAGGAUGAUCAUAGUAUGGGCAAAUCAGAUAGUCUUUGCACCAUCUUUUUAAAUUAUUGAAUUCUUUCCAUCCAUUCUUCAAAUGUGCAAGCCUGUACUUCUAUGAAGAGGUGAAGCAUUUCUACCACUGAUGCUGCAGUUGGAGUCAGACCUUUAAUCCAGCAUUUCUUCCCUUAUUCAGAGGCUACUAAAGCAGUUUCUCAUGAGCAUUCACUUAUGAAUCCAGUGCUCUGUGUAAGGCCCUCUCUCCUCCUUUCUCUUACCCCCAUCCUGGGUUUUCAUGCUGGACCUCACAUUCUGUUUUAUUGUGGGAGAUUCUGUGGUGAGACCUGCAAAGUGAUUGUUAUAUUAAAAACCAAAUUUAAAGCUAAGUGUCUUUCUUGUAGGAAUCUACAAAGAGCCACUAAAGUUUCCUACCAAAGAAGGUUAUGAAAGGAAUAACUCUGCUCUCUGUGUUUGUGAGGCACCUCAUGCUCUGGACAGAGCUGUAAAGGAAAAUGUUGCCUCUAAAAGUCAGGU
rnacentral:lncRNA from 1 species